rnacentral:rRNA from 1 species
UACGGAGGGGGCUAGCGUUUGUUCGGAAUUACUGGGCGUAAAGCGCACGUAGGCGGCUUUGUAAGUUAGAGGUGAAAGCCCGGGGCUCAACUCCGGAAUUGCCUUUAAGACUGCAUCGCUCGAAUUGUGGAGAGGUAAGUGGAAUUCCGAGUGUAGAGGUGAAAUUCGUAGAUAUUCGGAAGAACACCAGUGGCGAAGGCGACUUACUGGACACAUAUUGACGCUGAGGAGCGAAAAGCAUGGGGAGCGAACAGG